UUUUAUACAGCACGCAAAAUAAGUAGUCCACUCUGAAGUUGCAACAUGGCGGUUUGCGCAGGUCAGACUA